UGGCGGCAGGCCUAACACAUGCAAGUCGAACGGUAACAUUUCUAGCUUGCUAGAAGAUGACGAGUGGCGGACGGGUGAGUAAUGCUUGGGAACUUGCCUUUGCGAGGGGGAUAACAGUUGGAAACGACUGCUAAUACCGCAUAAUGUCUUCGGACCAAACGGGGCUUCGGCUCCGGCGCAAAGAGAGGCCCAAGUGAGAUUAGCUAGUUGGUAAGGUAACGGCUUACCAAGGCGACGAUCUCUAGCUGUUCUGAGAGGAAGAUCAGCCACACUGGGACUGAGACACGGCCCAGACUCCUACGGGAGGCAGCAGUGGGGAAUAUUGCACAAUGGGGGAAACCCUGAUGCAGCCAUGCCGCGUGUGUGAAGAAGGCCUUCGGGUUGUAAAGCACUUUCAGUUGUGAGGAAAAGUUAGUAGUUAAUACCUGCUAGCCGUGACGUUAACAACAGAAGAAGCACCGGCUAACUCCGUGCCAGCAGCCGCGGUAAUACGGAGGGUGCGAGCGUUAAUCGGAAUUACUGGGCGUAAAGCGCACGCAGGCGGUUUGUUAAGCUAGAUGUGAAAGCCCCGGGCUCAACCUGGGAUGGUCAUUUAGAACUGGCAGACUAGAGUCUUGGAGAGGGGAGUGGAAUUCCAGGUGUAGCGGUGAAAUGCGUAGAUAUCUGGAGGAACAUCAGUGGCGAAGGCGACUCCCUGGCCAAAGACUGACGCUCAUGUGCGAAAGUGUGGGUAGCGAACAGGAUUAGAUACCCUGGUAGUCCACACCGUAAACGCUGUCUACUAGCU
rnacentral:rRNA from 1 species